UACCCCUAAAGUCUAGUGGUUAGGACACCUCUCUUUCAAGGAGACGGCGGGGAUUCGAAUUCCCCUGGGGGU
rnacentral:tRNA from 2 species